GACUUGCCACCCUCACAGAUGGAGUCAAGUGCUCUGCUAUGGCUGAAAUGGGAUAGAAAGAGUGAAAACAAGGAAAGAAAAUAACCCAACAUCCACGUCCUUUAUUUCCUGCCGCAGGACUUUUGAGAAGGAGCUUGAAAGAGCUUAAAGUCUCCAUCUUUCCUUCUGCUGAACUUCAAAGCUGGAAACAGUCUACAAUGACCAUGAUGACAACCUGUGAUUAAAGAAGUGAGUUUGGAUUGUGGGGUUACCUACAGAGAUUCAGCUGAGUAUUUUGGUGCUUCUUCAGUUUUAUUUUCUCAUGGUAUUGAUUUUUAUUAUCCAUGGUGCCUUUCUCUUGUUCUCUUUCAGU
rnacentral:lncRNA from 1 species